AGCAGUAGCCGCGGGAAAACGAAGGGUGCAAGCGUUACUCGGAAUUACUGGGCGUAAAGCGUGCGUAGGUGGUGGUUUAAGUCCGUUGUGAAAGCCCUGGGCUCAACCUGGGAAUUGCAGUGGAUACUGGGUCACUAGAGUGUGGUAGAGGAUAGUGGAAUUUCCGGUGUAGCAGUGAAAUGCGUAGAGAUCGGAAGGAACAUCUGUGGCGAAGGCGACUAUCUGGGCCAACACUGACACUGAGGCACGAAAGCGUGGGGAGCAAACAGGAUUAGAUACCCCUGUAGUCCCUGUCUCUUAUAC
rnacentral:rRNA from 1 species